UUGCACACAGUCCCAAUGUUG
rnacentral:siRNA from 1 species